CGAGAUCAAUGAACCAGGCGAUUUACCGAAACUGGUCGGACGAGCCAAGGUGGGAAUAAACCAUCGAUCAAGAGCUUGGUUUUUAUUUAGCAGAAAUCUCUAUCUGCUUCAGCACGGAUUAUCACUUCACUCCGAAGCCAACAUUGAAGUGUGCGAUGUGGAAAAUUUACAGUUCUUUACUGUAACCUUAUAUCAACUGAUUUUGAGAGUAGAUUUUUUUUAAUUCAUCGUUGGGUCGCAUAACACAGGGGAAUACAGGAUGAUCUUCGCAAAUACGGCUAACCCAUUGAGAACUUCAUAUCGAAAGCAGCCUCCUGUUGCUCCGCCCACCCUGCCUAUGGCCCCGCCCAGUCCGAGCACCAAUAGCAGCACCAACAACAGCAGUAGCAGCAGCAGCAGCACAACCGGCUGGGAGCAACUCAGCAAAACAAACCUUUACAUCCGCGGGUUACCGCCAGGAACCACCGAUCACGACCUGGUCAAACUCUGCCAGCCAUAUGGUAAAAUCGUGUCCACCAAAGCCAUUCUUGAUAAGACUACAAACAAAUGCAAAGGAUAUGGGUUUGUGGAUUUUGACAGUCCCGUGUCCGCGCAAAAAGCCGUCGCAGCGCUAAAGACCAAUGGAGUCCAGGCUCAAAUGGCCAAGCAACAGGAGCAGGACCCGACUAACCUGUACCUGUCCAACCUGCCGGUGUCCAUGGAUGAGCAAGAGCUAGAGAAUCUCCUCAAGCCUUUUGGACAGGUCGUCUCCACCCGAAUCCUCCGUGACACUAACGGAGUGAGCCGGGGAGUGGGCUUUGCCAGGAUGGAAUCUACAGAGAAGUGCGACGCCGUGAUCUCUCACUUCAACGGGAAGUUCAUUAAGUCCUCCUCUGGGAUGCUGGGUGCAUCAGAGCCUUUGCUGUGUAAGUUCGCUGACGGCGGACAGAAGAAGAGACAGAGUCAGGCUAAAUACGUCCCCAACGGACGAACCUGGACACGAGACGCCGAGGUGAGACUAAGUGGAAUGACUUUGACCUAUGACCCCAGUACCGCCCUUCAGAAUGGGUACUAUGCUGCUCCUUAUGCCAUGGGAAACCGGUUAAUGGCUCAGCCUGGAGUGUCUCCAUACAUCUCUCCUAUCUCUACAUACCAGGUACAGAAUCCUUCAUGGAUGCCACAUCAGCCUUACAUCAUGCAACACCCGGGAGCAGUUCUGUCGCCCUCUAUGGAGCAUCCCAUGUCACUGCAGCCGUCCGCUAUGUUGGCUCCCCUCACCCAGCAGAUGGGCCAUCUCUCUCUGGGCGGCACCGCAACCUUUAUUCCUGCCAACACAGCAAUGCCAGGAGCUUACAUCCCUCAAUAUGCCCACAUUCAGCCCGCUGCCAUCCCUCCUGAGUCACAAAGAAAUGGGUUUUUGAGGAAAACAUUCCAAGAUUUUUCUCCAUAUAGUGGAUUUCAAUGGGAGGCAAUGGGUUGAAGAUCCAAAUUGCAGGUUCAAUGCAGCUUCAAAGGACUCUACACGAUCCCAGCUGAGGAAUAAGGAUUGGUUCUAAAAAAAAAUACAUUUAUAUACUUUUUAACCACAAAUGUUUGUCUUGCACUAGCUUGAAUUCACACAUUACUUUAUAAAAAUAGAAAUAUCACGCGCGAUGUAGGCAAAAGUGCCAACCCAGUGUUUACAAAGCUAACGUGCCUUUGCAAAAAAAGGUAAAUCGACGAUGUCGGACACUUUUGAAGCCGAAGGAGAAUAUGAGAUGGAGUUUUUCGUCCUACCCUACCAUUUUGAACUGGAGUACACAGACAAAGAACUAACCUUUCCAACUGAUUGUGUAAUAUGUGAUGCACAUCGCAGAACAUUUGUGUUUGGAAAAAUAUAGAAAUUCGUCUUUUUCUUAGAAAACGACAGAUCGUUUCGCUAGAUAAAACCCUUAUCCCUUGGCUGGGAUUGUGUAGAGCCCUUUGAAGCUGCGUUGAAACUAGGGGUGUGCGAUAUUGACAAAAAAGAAUAUCUCGAUAGCGAUAAUUAGAUGAUAUUUAGCUGAGCGUGUUAUUGUGCCGAUAUCUUAAGGACUACCAUGGACAGCUGACUCCUAAAUUGGUCAGUUCACAGCAGUGAAAUUAUUCUUUCCACUAAAGAAUAAUUUUAAUCAGUCAGUUAUAAUAAUAAUAAUACAUUUAGGCUGUUACCAAACAAAUGAAAUCAGUAUCAACAAAAUACUGAUAUUUGAAAUUAUUUUAAAAAUGAAAUGAUGCUUUAAAACUUUAAAUGUGAAAUUAAAACCGCCUGUAGGUGGCAGCAAGUCACAGUUAAUAAGUGAGUCAUUACGAUUGAACCGAAUCAUUUAAACGGUUGAUUCAAUCAGGAACGAAACACGUCGUGUUGCUCUGAGAUGCAAAAUAGUGCUGUGUUUCAAAUGAUUUUGUUGAUGAGCCAAUAUGAUGACUAAAACGUAAGUCUUUUAUAUUAACUUAUUGUUUAUUGAACUGUAUAAAAAAAAAUCACAUUUGUAAUCAUGCUGAUUUUUGAAGGAAAAACGUCACUGUGAUGUUGAUUAACUAUGUGAAAUAUGAAUAUAUACAUUUUCUGCCCCCAUAUUUUGAAUUUUGUUUUCAUUCUAAAUGCAUUUUAAUUUAAUCAGACUUUAUGACGUAAUGUAUGCGUGCAUUGUGUAGGUGUGUUUUGUUUGCAAUAUACGUUAAAAUAACAAUUACGAUAUUGUCGCAGACAAUAUGGCACACCCCUAAUUAAAACUGCAGUUUGCACCUUCAACCCAUUGAUCCCCAUUGAAGUCCAACAUAUGUGACCCUGGACCACAAAACCAGUCAUAAUUUUUUGAUAUUGAGAUUUAUUUUGAAUAAAUAAGCUUCCUAUUGAUGUAUGGUUUGUUAGGAUAGGAUAUAUUUGGCUGAGAUACAGCUAUUUGUGAAUCUGGAAUCUGAGGGUGCAAAAAAUCUAAAUAUUGAGAAAAUUGCCUUUUAAAGUCGUCCAAGUUUUUAGCAAUUCAUAUUACUAAUUAAUGCAUAUAUUUACAGUAGGAAAUGUACAAAAUAUCUUCAUGGAACAUGAUCUUUACUUAAUAUCCCAAUGAUUUUGGCAUAAAAGAAAAAGAUAUAAUUUUGACCCAUGCAGUGUAUUUCUGGCUAUUGCUUUCUCAAAAACCUUAAUUUCUUUUCGACUGAAGAAAGAACGAUGUGAACAUCUUGGAUGACAUAGUGCAGGAAAGUGGUGUACAGCCACAAGAUGUGUCCUCUUCAGAUCCGUCAUCGUACCCUUACCAACCAAACAAGCAAUAAAACGGUUAAUCGUCUGAGGUCAGAACCAGACACAGACUGCUGAGUGUUACAACCGUAACAACAUUUGCUUUCUUUUAGAGGAAGUGACAUCAGAGAGGAACUAACGCUCAUGCACGGGUUGCAGAAAAUUUGUCCGUGAUUUAAUCAUCUGCUUUGAAGAAAUCAACAAGAAACCUCAGAAGACUCUUGUGCAAACAUUUUCUCCAACAAACCAAGACAAGGCAAUAUCACACCAACUAUGGACAACGGAAGGCGAGCAGAGUUUUAUUUUGCUAGAAAGAGGAAGGAGAAGAUGACAAAUGCUUAUUUUUUACCAAGAACUAUUAACACAGACCAUGUCUGUGAGUAACGUUGAGUAAUGAUGUUAAUGGUGAUAAGACACCUUUCGAUGCAUGAUGUUUUUUUUUUUUUUUGUUUUUUUUAAUAUGGUUUUUAUUACGUUUUUAUGGACUGUUUCUCAAACAGACAAAUGAAAAUUUUUUUGUGGUUGCAGUCGAAAUGAAGAGGUUUCUGUUUGCUUUUUUGGUCUUCCACUCUUUGCCUUUUUAGUAGAUUAGAUAUUGACCUUUUAAAUAAGGUGGGCGGGGUUUAGAAUGACUGAUGCAACGCUUGCUGGCUAUUGGUCCUUGCUCCUGUCUCUCAAAGCAAAGGCUUUCCUGUUUCCUUUUUUAAUGUCGCUCUGAAUCAAACACGUUUGUUUCAGGGAUCGCGUGUCUGUCGUGAAUGAAUCUUCUUUCCAUCGAAUCCAUGUGUAAAGUCUUUCGGUAGAUGUAGAAGUGGAUGUUGAGAUGCGGGUGGGCGGGGUUUUAGUGAUAUGAGUGGGUGGGGUCAAGCUAGAUGAGGUGUGUGGGUGGGGCUAAUAAAAGGGAUGUUGUGGAUUUGGGAAAGCUGACAUUGUUCUUUCUGUUCACAGGAUGAUUGCGAUUUUUCUUUCCAGUGCCAUUUAUUUAUUUUUCUGUUUUUUUAACACAACACAUCAGGAUUUUGUUUGAUGCUCAGAAAAAAAAAAGGCAGAAGUGCAAUGUUUCUUUAGGUAGAAAGCAAGAGAUGUAUAAAUUAGGUAAGAAUUAUUCCUUUUUUGCUCUUUCGAAAUCUUUGAAAUGUCAAUAAUGCCGUUCAUAAUGUAGAUUAAACCUAAAUUUGUGGCCUAACAGAUACAUUUUUAGACAUAAGAUAGCACAGUUUUUCAAAAGUACGUUUCCGAAGAGAAACACCACUAUGUUUCUGAAUAAAUAAUGUAAUUAAAACAUUCGUCCGUACAAUUUAAUAAAUAAACAAACAUGAAACUUCAAGGCAACUAUGACACUUUCCACCAAAGACCUUUUUUGCCUACUAUUAAACACGAUAGUAUGGACUACUGCAGUGGGUUUUGGUCAAACUGAAUGGUAGUUUGUGUCUUUUCCAUCAGUCUUGGCUCUCAGCUUUAAUCGAGUUUUCGUUAGUGUGGACACAUGAACAUCUCUAAGCAGCUGGACGGAGGGAAGACUUGAUCCCAGUUUCCUAACACGGUUGUAAACAAGCCUUUCUUCUGUCUGUCAUACGGUUAGUUAAGCAGAUUUGUGUGUGUCUGUGUGUGAUUGUGAAUUUAGAUGUCCAGGUCAGCUUGGCCUUUGAUCUACCUCAGAGUUGUAUCUGUUGUCUGAUUGGUCGGGCUGCAGGUCUAUCCUGGCCAAUCAGAUGUAAAAGCGCCGGCUCUGGAGCUGGUGCCGUGCAGAACUUCAUCUUUAACGCGUCUAUUUGUCCUUCUCUUUAAAGAAACAUCUAUGUUUUGUAUCAGUAUGUCUUUCUGUUUUUUUUUUUUUUUACAUUGCAUUGUGAUGUUUUGAGCUUGAUUGUGUGGAGAAUUUCUUUAUGUUCUUUUUUGUCCAUUUCUUCUUCUGAUAGGUGCAGCAAAAAAAGAGAGGCUUGUGUAAUUUUUCCUGCAUUUGUUUGGUCUUUUUACAAAAAUCCACAUAAACUACCUUCUCUGGAAUUUUAUUUUCAGUUUGCUGUAGCCUCUCCGUGUUUAGAGGCCUAAUCUGAAGAACCAAAGUGAAAUAUUAUCACAGUUACUAACGUGUGUCAAAAAGCAGCACGUCGUAGUUUCAUUGGAGAGAUACAGUGUCUUUAUUUCAGUUGUCAAAAUAAACGUUUCAAAACAGCAAUCAUUCACGCAGUGUAUAAACACAGGACUGUUGUUGAGAUACUGAUUUUUUUUUUUAAAUUGUUCUAUUGAACACCUGCCACUUGCACGUCCAGAAUUUGUUUUAUUUCCUUUUUUCUGUUGUGAAAAGAAAAGAUUUUUUGAAUUAAAAGAGCUCAAAUUUG